AGCCUGAUGUUCAGAAUGCCUUCCUGGCAU
rnacentral:piRNA from 1 species